GUGCCAGCAGCCGCGGUAAUACGGAAGGUCCGGGCGUUAUCCGGAUUUAUUGGGUUUAAAGGGAGCGCAGGCCGAUGGUUAAGCGUGACGUGAAAUGUAGCCGCUCAACGGCUGAACUGCGUCGCGAACUGGCUGUCUUGAGUGAGUUCGAUGUGGGCGGAAUUCGUGGUGUAGCGGUGAAAUGCUUAGAUAUCACGAAGAACUCCGAUUGCGAAGGCAGCCCACAAGGCCUUUACUGACGCUAAAGCUCGAAGGUGCGGGUAUCGAACAGGAUUAGAUACCCUGGUAGUCCGCACGGUAAACGAUGGAUGCCCGCUGUUUGCGAUAUACUGUGAGCGGCCAAGAGAAAUCGUUAAGCAUCCCACCUGGGGAGUACGCCGGCAACGGUGAAACUCAAAGGAAUUGACGGGGGCCCGCACAAGCGGAGGAACAUGUGGUUUAAUUCGAUGAUACGCGAGGAACCUUACCCGGGCUUGAACUGCAGCGGAAGGAUACAGAGAUGUUGACGUCUUCGGGACCGCUGUGGAGGUGCUGCAUGGUUGUCGUCAGCUCGUGCCGUGAGGUGUCGGCUUAAGUGCCAUAACGAGCGCAACCCUUUUCAUCAGUUGCCAUCAGGUGAUGCUGGGCACUCUGGUGAUACUGCCACCGUAAGGUGUGAGGAAGGUGGGGAUGACGUCAAAUCAGCACGGCCCUUACGUCCGGGGCUACACACGUGUUACAAUGGGGCAUACAGAAGGCGGGACCAUGGCAACAUGGUUCAAAUCUUUAAAGUGCUCCUCAGUUCGGAUUGGGUCUGCAACCCGACCCCAUGAAGCUGGAUUCGCUAGUAAUCGCGCAUCAGCCAUGGCGCGGUGAAUACGUUCCCGGGCCUUGUACACACCGCCCGU
rnacentral:rRNA from 1 species